rnacentral:rRNA from 1 species
UACAGAGGUCCCGAGCGUUUGUUCGGAUUCAUUGGGCGUAAAGGGUGCGUAGGCGGUCUGCUAAGUUUGGUGUGAAAUCCCGGGGCUCAACCCUGGAAUGGCAUUGAAUACUGGCGGACUAGAGUACCGGAGAGGAAACUGGAAUUUACGGUGUAGCAGUGAAAUGCGUAGAGAUCGUAAGGAAGACCAGUGGCGAAAGGCGAGUUUCUGGACGGUAACUGACGCUGAGGCACGAAGGCCAGGGGAGCAAACGGG